UUUGAGGGGAAUGUUGUCUGGCUCGAGGCCCCUAACUAGAUCCAUGAUCUUCAUCUCAAUUGAUGUCAAUUUUAAUCAACAAUAUAGACUCAGUUGAGACAGAUCAUUUGGUUCUACAUUUAGUGACGUCGGACCAGGCUUCAUUCCCCCCAAU
rfam:Prunus persica cultivar Lovell chromosome G5, whole genome shotgun sequence.